rnacentral:rRNA from 1 species
UACGUAGGGUGCGAGCGUUGUCCGGAAUUACUGGGCGUAAAGCGUGCGCAGGCGGUGAUGUAAGACAGUUGUGAAAUCCCCGGGCUCAACCUGGGAACUGCAUCUGUGACUGCAUCGCUGGAGUGCGGCAGAGGGGGAUGGAAUUCCGCGUGUAGCAGUGAAAUGCGUAGAUAUGCGGAGGAACACCGAUGGCGAAGGCAAUCCCCUGGGCCUGCACUGACGCUCAUGCACGAAAGCGUGGGGAGCAAACAGG